rnacentral:rRNA from 1 species
UACAGAGGGUGCAAGCGUUACUCGGAUUUACUGGGCGUAAAGCGUGCGCAGUCGGUUAUUUAAGUCGGAUGUGAAAUCCCCGGGCUCAACCUGGGAAUUGCAUUCGAUACUGGAUAGCUAGAGUUCGGCAGAGGGAAGUGGAAUUUCAGGUGUAGCGGUGAAAUGCGUAGAUAUCUGAAGGAACAUCAGUGGCGAAAGCGACUUCCUGGACCAGAACUGACGAUCAGGCACGAAAGCGUGGGGAGCAAACAGG